AUGCAUUGUGGGUACUUUUCUGUACUUCCGGGUGAAAGUAAAAGUUUUGUAACGUGCAGCUUUUUCCCGAAUAACACGCAUUGUGUGGAUCAACGCUGCUAUCCUAUAGAGCAACCUUGUCUAUAAUUGGUUCCGGUUGAGUGCAAUACACGCUUUGGUUAUGUCAAAUGCUGCCCACGUAUCUAGAGUCAGGUCACUAUACAAAGCCAUACUGAGGCUUCAUCGUGGUAUGCCCGUAGAACUACAGGCUCUAGGUGACCAGUAUGUAAAGGAAGAAUUUAGAAGACAUAAGUCUGCAGAGCCUAAGGAUGUUGGGCCAUUCAUGCUUGAAUGGACAGCCUACUAUGCUACAUUAGCGAAACAACUGGCAGCAAAGACACAGAAACAAAGUUAUGGUAAAAAUUUGGACAAUCGACAACUAGAUGCAUUUAAUGAUGAGCAAAUAGGACAAAUUUUUGAACUGUAUCAAGAAUCUAAAAAACCUAUUGACCCUGAAAAUCCACUUGGAGAGGCCCCAACAAAGUAGUUAAAGAUAGGGAAAGAGAUCAUUCUGCACAUUAAGUAUUAUCCAAACUUCUGAGAGAAUUGAAGUAUUUGAUCAAAUAGUCGAUACUAGUACAUCUUAAGCUCAUUUCAAAACAGUGAUUCAAGAUGGAGAAAGUGAAUGAAAAAGAUACAGAUACCCUAUGCUGUGUAACAUCAACAGCCCCUGUAAACAUUGCUAUGAUUAAAUACUGGGGUAAGAAGGAUACAGAUCUCAUUAUACCUCUCAAUGGAUCUCUGAGUGCGACCCUUGACCAAGGACAGCUUUGCGCUAAAACAUCUGUCGCGAUUAGUCGCAGCUUCAAAAAUGAUAGAUUGUGGCUGAAUGGCACUGAACAGUCAAUUGAUAAUCCUAGGAUCCAAAGUGUGUUGAAUGAAAUGCGACGCAGAAUUCGCAAAAGAAAGUUUGAUGAAUCUGAUCUGAGUGAAAGUUUUACACAAGGCAUGUCCAAAUGGCAUUUACAUAUUGUGUCAGUGAAUAAUUUCCCAACAGCAGCUGGUUUGGCUUCAUCUGCUGCAGGUUAUGCCUGUUUGGUGCAUGCUUUAUCAAAGCUGUUUAACAUCGAGGGUGAGGUGUCGUCCAUAGCUAGGGUAGGAUCGGGGAGUGCCUGCAGGAGCAUGUACGGAGGAUGGGUGGAGUGGCUCCCUGGGGAGGACACAGGAAGCUCAAUAGCUGUACAAGUCGCUCCCGAGGACCACUGGCCUGAAAUAAGAGUUCUGAUUCUUGUUGUUAAUGACCAGAAGAAACCAGUUGGAAGCACAGAUGGUAUGCAGGCCACAGUGAGAACAUCAGACCUGAUGCAGUACAGAGCCAAAAAAGUUGUACCAAAGAGAAUCAACAUGAUAAAGAAAGCCAUCUUUGAUAAAGAUUUUGAAACAUUUGCUGAAGUGACUAUGAAAGAGAGCAAUCAACUACAUGCAGUGUGUAUGGAUACCCACCCACCAAUCUUCUAUAUGAAUGAUACUUCAAAGCAAAUCAUCAGAUUUGUACAUGAUUUCAAUAAUGAAGAAAAUACCAUCAGGGCUGCAUAUACAUUUGAUGCUGGCCCAAAUGCUUGUAUUUUUCUUCUUGAAGAAAAUGUCAAAAAGUUUAUCUCAUCUUUCUCACGAAAAUUCCCUCCAAGCUCGUAUGAAAAUUACAUACGAGGAAUUCCUGUCAACUUUGAACAGCCAACUCCUGCUACACCUGUAAAAGGUGAUCUCUUGAAGUAUAUCAUUCAUACAAAGGUUGGUGCAGGACCUGCGAUAGUAGGUGAUGAGGCCGAAUCAUUGAUUGGAAAUGACGGACUUCCAAAAUAAUACAAUACCCGGUAAUAGUGAUACUCACAGGCGAUUGUUGAAAAUAUGGGUGUCAAAUUAGCAAGUGUUUGUCAUAAUAUGAUUUUAGAAUAGGCCUAAAGGUCCAUGUGCAGUGUGGCAAGUGAUUUUAGACGGUCAU
rnacentral:misc_RNA from 1 species